rnacentral:tRNA from 1 species
AGUGUAAUAGCUCAGUAGAAGAGCAUGUGCUUAGCAUUUACAAGGCCCUGGGUUCAAUCCCCAGUACCUCCA